AUUACUUGAGUUAUAUGAUCCCAUGAUCAUUUACUUGAUCAAUAAAAAUACAGACGACAAAAAGAAAAAUACAAAAUCAGUCCAUUGCUCCAUAAAUCUGCUUUCAAAUACCUCAAUGUUUACAAUUUUUGAACUGCAAUAUCAUUCUUAGAAACAUUAUUUGAAUUAAAUUUUCUUCUAAUAUAAUUCUUCUAUUCAGCCUAUUCUAUACCCAACCCAACUAACCCAACAAAUCCGUUUUCUAAUACCCUUUCAAUUGGAGGCUUGUUGAUGGGAAAACAACUUCAUCUAUGAAACAUAAACUAUAAUUUAAAACACAAGACACAAAUCGUUCAACAACAAUGAUUAACUUAUGUUAUUCUUAAAUUUCUUGAAAUUUCUUUAUGCUAGCGACACAUUACACACAGUCAACAAUGAAUAAAGAAAAAUAUCAGUUAGAGAUCAACACCUCUUAAAAGAGUAAUUUACAAGAUGUUACCAAGGAAAAAUCGAUCUUGACAUUGAUAAAAUGUUAUUUGACUUAUAGGAAGGACCUCCAUUGCCCCUCCCAUUUCUGCUAUCGUCCAACAACCUUGACAACUUUGGCACGGACUUGACUUCUCCUUGCUUCAUGAUAUGAAAUAAGACCAUAACCAUACAUCAUCUGAACAUCAAAAAACCAUCAAAUAUUUUACCUCAUGUGGUCUGGAAAGGGUGUUAGGAGAUGUGUUUAUCGGGGUAAUUGGGUCAGGUAGAAGCAUUAUACUUAAAAAAAAAAUUCAUUAGGAAAAAAAUUAUAUCCACAUAGGUGUCAUGUAGUCGUCACAUAAGAUAAUAAGGGUAUUCUACUUUAAUGCAUAUCACUAUAUCAGCUAGUUUGUCAAUUAAAUUAUAUUCACAAAAGACCUUGGAGUCUUUGUAUCUUAACAGUUGGGAUAAUAAUCAAUGAAGCGAAAGGUAGAAAAUCAUAGCAUUAAAGCAAAAUAAAAUCAGUAUCAUGGAUAGGUCUAUAGAAGUCCAAUACUUCAGGCUUCAGCCUAUAAUUAUUGGAGGCAAAGUAUAUCAAGAACCAAAUUCACUUGCUAAAUCAGUGCCAGCUAUUUCUUGAUCAUAAUUCCAUCUUUGUUUCAACAAUCAGAUUAAAGAAUGAUUUCAAAGUAAUUAAAAUGUCUCAUGUAGAGCUUAGACUUGCCAAUGUCACUUCUGGAGCUAUUAAUGCACUGCAAGUUGAACCAUAAACAAUGGCAUCAUUAGAAUCUUCUUGUGAAAACAAGACAGGUCAUACUAAUUAACUUGAAGGAUGAACAUCCUCCAUUGCAAACUAUAGUAGUUAACAGGUGUGAAAUUAACACUUACAUCUUGGAAUGGUUGUGUGGACACUGCAAGCAUCAGAACCUACACUGCUUGUAGUGAAUACAGGAGCUGUAGCUGCCUUUACAACAACAGUUUCAUGUUGAAUGGUGUGUGGACCCAUGACAGUAUCUACAGCUCCGUGUGCACAAUACAUCCAGUACAAAAUUAAGUCCAUCCCUGUAGAACAUAAUAAUCACUUCUUUAAGUAUCUUUGCACAACAAAAUAUGAUUAAAGAAUUGGUUUAAGUUUUCUACACACUGAAGACAUGAGAGUUAACAAUCUAAAAGCAAAUAUGUGCCCUAAAAGCAAUCGAUGAUCAGCAUAUGCUAGUAUAAAUAUACAAGAUUGUAACUUCUUAGCAUAUUAUAGAGCAGGAAAAGACAGUUAUGUUAAAAAUGAUAUAUAUACGUCUUAUGUUGCCUAUCAUGAUUUGUGCUAAUUAAAGACUUUAGAUCUUAGAAUUGAUUCUAUCAUUAUUUAAGUAAGCGAUCAUCAAAUAUCAUUGUUAAAUUAAUAAAUUGCUUAAAAUUUAACUGAGAGCAUUGCUUGCGUAAACCCAUUCAAAAAGAUGAUGUAAUAGAAUGACAUGAUUGAAACGGGAAUAAAUUCCAACCAAAAAAGCCCCUAAAUCCAGUUUCUCAAAGAGUUUGUAGAUUUAAAAAGAUAGGAUAAGUUUCUGCUUUGUGAACAUCGUGAACGUACACGUAGAGUUCACCAGAAAUAAUUAUUGCCAAGAACUAAUCUAUGAGAAUACAUGGAUGCAAUGGAGCAGAACCGAAAAUCUAAUGAACCAAGACUAAAUCUACGAAUCUAAUAAAGAGAAAGUACCAUCUCAGAUUUGUUACUUGAGGAGAACGGAAAAACUGGGGAGAUUUGGGUAAAUAGACA
rnacentral:lncRNA from 1 species